rnacentral:rRNA from 1 species
UACGAAGGGGGCUAGCGUUGUCCGGAAUCAUUGGGCGUAAAGCGCGUGUAGGCGGUCCGGUAAGUCCGCUGUGAAAGUCGGGGGCUCAACCCUCGAAUGCCGGUGGAUACUGUCGGGCUAGAGUGCGGAAGAGGCGAGUGGAAUUCCUGGUGUAGCGGUGAAAUGCGCAGAUAUCAGGAGGAACACCAAUUGCGAAGGCAGCUCGCUGGGACGUAACUGACGCUGAGACGCGAAAGCGUGGGGAGCAAACAGG